rnacentral:rRNA from 1 species
GAGUUUGAUUCUGGCUCAGGACGAACGCUGACGGCGUGCCUAACACAUGCAAGUCAGGGCUCCGGCCCGGCGCACGGGUGAGUAACGCGUAGAUAAUCUGCCCAUAUCUCUGUGAUAACAUCGGGAAACUGCAAUAAACACAGAUGAGGCCUUCGGGUCAAAGGUAACGGAUAUGGAUGAGUCUGCGUCUGAUUAGAUAGUUGGUGGGGUAACGGCCUACCAAGUCAACGAUCAGUAGCGGGUCUGAGAGGAUGAUCCGCCACACUGGAACUGAGACACGGUCCAGACUCCUACGGGAGGCAGCAGUGAGGAAUUUUGGUCAAUGGAGGAAACUCUGAACCAGCGACGCCGUGUGUGUGAUGAAGGGGCUCCGCCCUGUAAAGCACUGUCAGAUGGGAAAAAAAGCACCCUCGGGGUGCCGGGAUUGUACCAUCAGAGGAAGGACCGGCUAACUACGUGCCAGCAGCCGCGGUAAUACGUAGGGUCCAAGCGUUGUCCGGAAUUACUGGGUAUAAAGGGUCCGCAGGCGGUCUUGUGCGUCCAGGGUUAAAGACCACGGCUCAACCGUGGGAGUGCCCUGGAUACGGCAGGACUUGAGUACGAGAGAGGUAAGUAGAAUUCCUGGUGUAGCGGUGAAAUGCGUAGAUAUCAGGAGGAAUACCAGUGGCGAAGGCGACUUACUGGCUCGUUACUGACGCUCAGGGACGAAAGUGUGGGGAGCAAACAGGAUUAGAUACCCUGGUAGUCCACACCGUAAACUAUGUAUGCUUGGUGUUCCUACUAUGUAGGAGUGCCGGAGGAAAUCCGUUAAGCAUACCACCUGGGAAGUACGAUCGCAAGGUUGAAACUCAAAGGAAUUGACGGGGGCCCGCACAAGCGGUGGAUUAUGUGGUUUAAUUCGAUGCAACGCGAAGAACCUUACCGGGGCUUGAACUGCAGUGGACUUUGUGUGAAAGCACAUUUUUCUUCGGAACUGCUGUAGAGGUGCUGCAUGGUUGUCGUCAGCUCGUGCCGUGAGGUGUUGGGUUAAGUCCCGCAACGAGCGCAACCCCUAUCUUUAGUUGCCAGCACGUAAUGGUGGGAACUCUAAAGAGACUGCCCGCGCAAGCGGAGAGGAAGGCGGGGAUGACGUCAAAUCAUCAUGGCCCUUACGUCCCGGGCUACACACGUAAUACAAUGGAUAGUACAGAAGGCGAAGCCGCGAGGUGGAGGAAAUCCUUAAAACUAUUCUCAGUUCGGAUUGGAGUCUGCAACUCGACUCCAUGAAGUUGGAAUCGCUAGUAAUCGUAGAUCAGCGUGCUACGGUGAAUACGUUCCCGGGCCUUGUACACACCGCCCGUCAAGCCAUGGAAGCCGGGGGUGCCCGAAGCGGACUAGUUUCGUUAAGGCAAACUUGGUAACUGGGGCUAAGUCGUAACAAGGUA